UACGAAGGGGGCUAGCGUUGCUCGGAAUCACUGGGCGUAAAGCGCACGUAGGCGGGUCGUUAAGUCGGGGGUGAAAUCCUGGAGCUCAACUCCAGAACUGCCUUCGAUACUGGCGAUCUUGAGUCUGGGAGAGGUGAGUGGAACUCCGAGUGUAGAGGUGAAAUUCGUAGAUAUUCGCAAGAACACCAGUGGCGAAGGCGGCUCACUGGCCCGGGUACUGACGCUGAGGUGCGAAAGCGUGGGGAGCAAACAGGG
rnacentral:rRNA from 1 species